GCCCCCCAGGCCUCCCAAUUUCGCAAUGAUUGGCUGAGAGACGGAAUCUUGUAGAAUUCCAAGGGGCGGAACCAUGUGCUACGGGAAGACUUGAGGCCCAAGUGCGGUUGGCGGAAGGAGCGCCUGUGACUUGGAGGACCGCCAGAGGGAGCCGGAACCUCCGCGCCGAGCACUGCUCCAAUCUCGGCCCUGCUACUGAGAAAUAUCUCAUAACUCCAACGAGAUGACUUGACAGAGCUGCAGACACUGAAAACAGUACUUAACUGUUUGUGAAAAUGCACUGAGGAAUCUGGUUGGCGGGCACUACCAAUCAACUAAAGAUGACCCCAAGAGAUCAAAUCUCUUUGCCAUCAUCGAAUGGCACAAUUCUGCCCCCCCCCAUUGGAAGAAAGAGAAUCAAGAAGCAGCUCAGCUGCGGGUAUGCACAGCAAGAAUGCACAGCUAACCCCUUGUCCUCCGGA